AACGAACGCUGGCGGCAUGCCUAACACAUGCAAGUCGAACGAAACCUUCGGGUCUAGUGGCGCACGGGUGCGUAACGCGUGGGAACCUGCCCUUAGGUUCGGAAUAACUCCCCGAAAGGGGUGCUAAUACCGGAUAAUGUCUUCGGACCAAGGAUUUAUCGCCUUUGGAUGGGCCCGCGUUGGAUUAGCUAGUUGGUAGGGUAAAAGCCUACCAAGGCGACGAUCCAUAGCUGGUCUGAGAGGAUGAUCAGCCACACUUGGACUGAGACACGGCCCAGACUCGGACGGGAGGCAGCAGUGGGGAAUAUUGGAGAAGGGGCGAAAGCGUGAUCCAGCAAUGCCGGGUGAGUGAUGAAGGCCUUAGGGUUGUAAAGCUCUUUUAGACGGGAUGAUAAUGACAGUACCGGGAGAAUAAGCACCGGCUAACUACGUG
rnacentral:rRNA from 1 species